UGGAUAGAGAUUUUUAAAGGAAAUGGCAUCAAAAUGUAAAUGGGUUAUGAUAGCCUCUCUCAAACUCAGAAAUGGAUUGUGAAUAUGUCUGUCAAUGACUGUUAAAAUCUUUUUGUAGCUGCAUAAUAUUCCAUUGUAUGGGUGCAUCAUGAUUUCUUUAGACUGUUCUCUGUUUGGGGCUCCUUGGACUGUUUUCAAAUCCGUGCGUUCGCGGGGCCCCCCACCCCAGGAAGAUUAGCCCUGAGCUAACGUCUGCUGCCAAUCCUCCUUUUUUUGCUGGGGAAGACUGGCCCUGAGCUAACAUUCAUGCCCAUCUUCCUCUACUAUAUAUGUGGGACGCCUGCCACAGCAUGGCUUUUGCCAAGGGGUGCCAUGUCCGCACCCGGGAUCCGAACCAGUGAACCGGAACGUGUACGCUUAACGGCUGCGCCACCCGGCCGGCCCUAUUCCAUGCUAUUUUAAACAGCACUGGAAGAAACAUCGUGUGCCCACAUCUUUGCUCACCUGUCUGAAUAGUUCCUCGGGAUACAUUUCCUGGAGGUGGAAUUCCUGGGCUGGAGGAUACACCCCAGCGUGCACGUUUGAAAGGCGUUUGAAAGAUCUGAUCACGCCGCCCUUCAGAAAGAUCCUCUCAUUUUAUGACUUGCAGCCGCACGGGCAAGAGACGAUUCGGGCCGUCUCCUUGAAAACGCAGCUCCCGGUCUCACCAGCCAGGGUGUCCUUGCCGGCCUGCGUUGUUCUUGGCCGAGAUCCUGGAGGUCGCGCGGGGUGGUGGGGGGAGGGGCCCUUCUUUCUCCUGCGCUGGAGUCAGUCUGGGCCGUGCCGUUUGGGGGGCGUGUGGCCCCCUUUUCCAGUUUAUGUUCUCUUGCUGUGUUUUAUGCAUCCACACCAAGCCGCCUCCAGUCCCAUCUGGAGGAGGUGGGAUGGGGUCGGGUGCUGCUGCCCUCUGACCACUGGGCUGCGGAUGAGACGUCUAGAGCCCUGUCCUUGGACAGACGGUAGAUCUCAGGAUUGGCUCUCUGGGCUCCGCGCGGCCCCACACGGCCCCGACCCCUCUGGGGCUUGUUGGGGACGUCUGAGGAGGCAGGGAGGACCAGCUGCCUAAACAAGGUGAGUCUUCUCGAGCUGUCCAUGAAGACAUCUUUUAUGGGGAGUCCUGCUGCUGUGAAACGAAAUGGACGCCUGAGCCUUGUCCUCAGGCACAGCGCACGGGGAUUGGCGGUAGGGCCCGGGCUAGGGUGGGGCAGGUGAGGCGCCCAGGGCAGGAAGGAGGCUCACUCUGGCGCCCUGCCAGAGUCCUGCCCCACAGGGGGUCCCCGCCCUCCGAGUGGCCUCCCCCGAGCGAAGCCCCUCCCCUCCUUCUCGGGGUGUUGGCAGGUGAGAGCAGGUGAGAACAUGUGCUCCCUUCCAGGCAGAUGCUGUGAGCAGACGUGACCUGCAUGGAAUGUUCUCCAUCAGAGUUUCUUGCUUUGGAGUAACACCCGGCGGGGCACCCUCCAGUCCAGUGCCGUCCGUUUCACGCAGCCUCCCGUCCUCGGUGGCAAAUCUUCCCAGUCGUCUUUGCGAUCUUGGCUUCCCACCUUCCACAGGCAACCAUUUGACACACACACACACACACACACACCUGUGCUGAACAAGUACAAAUAUCCGGGCUUAGAGGACUUUGAGCCCAUUCCUUCAUUUGACAACCAUUUAUCGGGUGUGCUCCCAUGUGUUGAGGAUAUGGCAGGGGACCGAAAGGGAAAAUCCUGCUCUUGUGGGGCUUAUAUUUUAGUGGGGAGACAUGCUACAUACUAAGUGAAGGGGCAAACCGUAUAGCAGGGGGGACAAUAGUAAGUGAUAGAGAUCAACCACAGCAGCGAAGGGGGUCGGGGUGCUGGGCGCGGGGCUGAAAUUUUAGCAGGGGACACCAAGGAAGGCCUGGGGACGUGAGGGAGGUGAGGGGUGAGCCACGCAGGGGUCGGGAGGAGUGUCCCAGGAAGGGAGCGGAGCCGCUGCAGAGAGCAGGGGAGGGAGGGACCCGGAGUUGGAGGGGCAAGCAGGAGGCCAGCGUGGCGGGAGAGAGAGGAGACAGGUGGAUGGGGACAGGAAGAGGUGAGGCCUUG
rnacentral:lncRNA from 1 species